rnacentral:rRNA from 1 species
AAAAAAAUGCCACAUACAAUCAGCAGUUAGUAAUAUAGUGACCGAGUGAAACUAUGAAUUCAAAGGGAUCGACUGAAAUUUCAAAGACAAAGAACGAUCUAAUAAUAUAAACUCUAACUGAUUGUCAGCAAUCAACCAGAGUCUUAGUGGCUACACCCAGUGGGUGCAUUGAUGGUGCCCUCACUGGAAAAAGUUUGUCACAUACAACUCAAAUGAUCUUAUAACCCGAGUGAAACCAUGAAUUUAAGAUAUUGGUUCUAGAUUUAAGAGUAAGGAAAUAAACUAACCUAUGAUUGCCAUCAAUCAGUCAGAGUCACUAUUGGAAUUUACUUGUUUGCCAAGUGCCAAAAACACUCGGCAAAAGGCAAAAAACACUAGGCAAUACUUUUGCCGAGUGUUGUACUCAGCAAAGGGCACUGCUGCUCCCGCCGCCGCCGCCACGAACUCCUUGCCCUCGCUACUGCUUAGUUGCUGUCGUCACCGCUGACGCUCGAGAAGAAAAUGUUGUGGCCGCUGACGCUCGGGCAGAGCAGCUCACGAAGAGGAGGCCAUGACCAUUGACGCAAGCCGGCCUCGAUGCUGCCGUGCGUUGGGUGAGCGCACUCGCUGUUGAUGUGCAUGCGUGAGGUUAGCUUGGUCGCCACGCUUGGUGUCGCCGUCGACGCACGGGGCAGCUCGCCGGUCGCCGGAGCGCUGCUGCUCGGGAGCGAAGGACGUGCCGAUGAGCUGCUCGGGCGGGCUGUGCUACUGCUGCUCGACGAAGGGUUGCACCACCAAGUUGCUGCGGUACAGCCCCAAGGCCGACGAGGGCUGAUGACGGCUAGCCGGAGCCGGCAGCCUCCUCCCCCGACCCAUGAGAGAGAGAGGCCGGAGAGAUAAGAGAGAGAGAUAGGACUGAGACGAGAGAGAUAAAAGUGAGACGAGUGGACGAGAGAGAUAU